rnacentral:rRNA from 1 species
GGCUCAGGAUGAACGCUGGCGGCGUGCUUAACACAUGCAAGUCGAACGAAGCACUCAUGACAGAUUCUUCGGAUGAUGGAUUGAUUGACUGAGUGGCGGACGGGUGAGUAACGCGUGGGUAACCUGCCGUAUACAGGGGGACAACAGUUGGAAACGACUGCUAAUACCGCAUAAGCGCACAGGACCGCAUGGUCUGGUGUGAAAAACUCCGGUGGUAUACGAUGGACCCGCGUCUGAUUAGCUAGUUGGUGAGGUAACGGCCCACCAAGGCGACGAUCAGUAGCCGGCCUGAGAGGGUGAACGGCCACAUUGGGACUGAGACACGGCCCAAACUCCUACGGGAGGCAGCAGUGGGGAAUAUUGCACAAUGGGGGAAACCCUGAUGCAGCGACGCCGCGUGAGUGAAGAAGUGUUUCGGUAUGUAAAGCUCUAUCAGCAGGGAAGAAAAUGACGGUACCUGACUAAGAAGCCCCGGCUAACUACGUG